UAAAAUAAAAUUACAUUAGUUUGGAAACAGUGGAUUUUAACUCAUUCCUCUUUUCUGAGAAACCAUUCCUCUUCCUGCAAGCUCUCUCCUCCUCCUGCAUCUUCUCCCUUUUCCAUUCUUCACUGAACCAUUAAAAUCUUGAUUAGGUGCUGCCCCAACGAUCGCCAAGUAGCGGGUGUUGCUCUUAGUCGAUCAAUUUUCCCUAAUUUGAACCGGUGAUUCUAACAUUUGGAAAGUGCAAGCAAGUGGUCUAGGGUUCCUACUUGAGCUUGGUUGCCUACACUAGAGGUAAGGGGAGCUAGUUCUCUUUUUGGUUUUACUGCAUGGCGUGAUUACAUGAUGAUUUUCAAAUUGGUAUGUUGUUGGAAGCAAAAUUUUGAAUUUUACUAACUUGAAAUGCAUGUAUGGAAGUGUGAGUGCUACGUGAAUGUGGUGAUUGAUGGAUAUGAACUGUUUGGGAUGAUUUUGAGUGAUGAAUUAUGUAUGUUGGAACUGUUUUGGGUGUGUAAAUUUUGUUGUGGUGUUGAUAGGAAGGAAAAUCAAGUGUCUUAGGGUCACUUUUUGGUCAUUUUAGAGGAAGUGAGGUAGGGAUUUUGAGUAAAUGAAGGCUGCAGUGUUCCUGGACUGUUUGGGCAGCCUAGACAAGUCCAUUGAGACUUGUUAGAAGCAUAACAGUAGUUGAAAACAGGUUCCAAGUAGUGGAAUCGAAUUUGGGUCCCUAAGUUGUUGAAGUUAGUGUUUUGAAGCUGGAAGUGAACUUUAAAUCACUUAGAAAUGGUAGUAGAAAUGUUUAGGAUCAUUUGGAUAAGUUUAAUUAAGUCUAAAACGAGAAUUAAGAGUCUAAGAAGUUGAGAAAAGUGGUUGGAAAUGGUCAAGGGAGGUCCUGAUACCAGUCUGCAGAAUUCUGAGAAUUCUGCAGAAAUUCUGCAGAACGCGCAAACUGAGCGUUCGUCCAUGUCGGAGUUGAACGCUCGGUCAUGCCAUGUGCUGAGUGACGUUCGGUCAAAUGUGGGCUUGACUUAACGUUCGUCCUUGUCUAGGGAGCGUUCGGUCUUAGGGGAUGAUAUUAAUAGCGUUCGUUCAUUCGGUUGCUUAGUCGCGUUCGUUCAUUCGGUUGCUUAGUGGCGUUCGUUCAUUCACUGGUUUAGUAGCGUUCGGUUAGUUGAAGGUUUAGUAGCGUUCGGUCAGCUGAAGGUUUAAUUAGCGUUCGGUCAGGGGUUGGAAUUAAUAGCGAGCGUCCAUAGGUAGUGGCGAGCGUCCAUAUUGGUGACGUUCGGCCUAGUGUUUGAUCUCACAGCGUUCGUCCAUGGGACGCUUGCUUUAACAGCGUUCGCCCUAGUGAUAUUGAGGCGUUCGUCCUAGUGAUGUUAGCGUUCGUCCUAGUGAUAUUGAGGCGUUCGUCCGGGUGAUGUUAGCGUUCGUCCUAGUGAUAUUGAGGCGUUCGUCCUAGUGGUGUUAGCGUUCGGUCAUGAGGCUUGAUAUUGAAGCGUUCGUCCAAAUGGGGUUCGUCCAAGGGAUUAGGACGUUCGUCCAAACAGUGUUCGUCCAGCGGUGAUAUCUUCCUUCAUGCUUUCUCUCAUUCCAGUAAGCUUUGUUAAUUAAAUAUUUCGGUUACGAUUUAUGAAUGCAUCUUCAUGUGAUCCAGAUUGUUUGAAAGUGUAUGAUUAUAAAUGGUUUAUGAUGUACUUUGUUGAUCCAAAAGGAAUAUUAUGAGAUUUAAAAUGGUUGGAUUGAAUCGGAAAUUUAGAUCUCUCGGUGAGAUCAGUUAGUGUAUUGAAUGAAUGUAGAGGCUUCCAUAUGGGGGGUUAUCCCUAACACUCCAACGGUCUUUCAUUCUCACUUAGAGAGGAUUGACGCGUGUGGUGGGAGUAGUGGGAGGUCCUAGGGUAGACGCUAUCACUGGAGGUCUAUUCCGCGGUAACGGAUUAGCCUUGUGUAUGGUCGGGUGGAACCCCUCGGCAAUGGCUUUGCAAAGCAGUAGAGGCCAUCACAAGUGCACAACCCGCCCCAGCUCUACAUACAUUCUAUGUCCGGACGUGUCUAGAGUCUUAACAUGAUAGUAUGCUUGUCUUAAUGAGUUUUAAGAAAUAAAUGCUUAUGUUUAUGAUGACUUAUGUGUAUGGAUAUUCUGGUAAAUGCUAGAUUGGUUGAAAAUGAAUUGUAUGAUUGUUUGAGACCUAGCUCACCCUUGCAUUUGUAUGUGUUGCAUGUGUUUGCUUUCCCCUUGCGAUGAUCAUCCAAUCCUUUGGAUGUGAGCGGUAGGUGAUGAUGUACCUUUGGAGCAAGCUUUGGAAGUUGAGGAAGACCCAACACCUAGUGCUUAGGAUUUCUACCAGCUCUUAUGUUAUAUAGCUUUUCAUUUUGAAAGACUUCUAGCCUUCAUCUUUAGCAUGAUCCGUAUUUUGAAGAAUUAUGAACUCGUACUUAUGUUUUAAAGUUUUCCAGUCAGACUUGGAUAACUGUACUCCUUAAUUCCAUCUAUUGUGUACUCUUAACUGCUUUCUAUUAUUAUAAUCGAUGCAUUCUACGUAUAUACUUUGUUAUA